UGAAGCUGGAAUCGCUAGUAAUCGUAGAUCAGCAUGCUACGGUGAAUACGUUCCCGGGUCUUGUACACACCGCCCGUCACACCACGAGAGUUUGUAACACCCGAAGCCGGUGGAGUAACCAUUUGGAACUAGCCGUCGAAGGUGGGACAAAUGAUUGGGGUGAAGUCGUAACAAGGUAGCCGUAUCGGAAGGUGCGGCUGGAUCACCUCCUUUCUAAGGA
rnacentral:rRNA from 1 species